rnacentral:rRNA from 1 species
UACGUAGGGUGUAAGCGUUAAUCGGAAUUACUGGGCGUAAAGCGUGCGCAGGCGGUUAUGCAAGACAGAUGUGAAAUCCCCGGGCUUAACCUGGGAACCGCAUUUGUGACUGCAUAGCUGGAGUACGGCAGAGGGGGAUGGAAUUCCGCGUGUAGCAGUGAAAUGCGUAGAUAUGCGGAGGAACACCGAUGGCGAAGGCAGUCCCCUGGGCCUGUACUGACGCUCAUGCACGAAAGCGUGGGGAGCAAACAGG